GCAAGUCGAGCGAGAAGAUUUUGAUUGAUCCUUCGGGUGAAAGAUAAGUUGGAAAGCGGCGGACGGGUGAGUAACGCGUGGGUAACCUGCCCUGUACAGAGGAAUAGCCAUUGGAAACGAUGAUUAAUGCCUCAUAAGACUACGAGACCGCAUGGUUUUGUAGUAAAAACUCCGGUGGUACAGGAUGGACCCGCGUUAGAUUAGCUAGUUGGUGAGGUAAUGGCUCACCAAGGCGACGAUCUAUAGCCGACCUGAGAGGGUGAUC
rnacentral:rRNA from 1 species